UACGUAGGGUGCGAGCGUUAAUCGGAAUUACUGGGCGUAAAGUGAGCGCAGGCGGCAGAGCAAGUCGAGUGUGAAAGCCCCGGGCUUAACUUGGGAAUUGCGCUCGAAACUACUUUGCUGGAGUGUGGCAGAGGAAGGUGGAAUUCCACGUGUAGCGGUGAAAUGCGUAGAGAUGUGGAGGAACACCAAUGGCGAAGGCAGCCUUCUGGGCCAACACUGACGCUCAUGCACGAAAGCGUGGGGAGCAAACAGG
rnacentral:rRNA from 1 species